rnacentral:rRNA from 1 species
ACGGUAGCAUAUGAAUAAGGAUCGGCUAACUCCGUGCCAGCAGCCGCGGUCAUACGGAGGAUCCAAGCGUUAUCCGGAAUUACUGGGCGUAAAGAGUUGCGUAGGUGGCAUUGUAAGUUGGUAGUGAAAGCGUUCGGCUCAACCGAAUAUACAUUAUCAAAACUACAAAGCUAGAGGAUGAGAGAGGUUAUUGGAAUUCCUAGUGUAGGAGUGAAAUCCGUAGAUAUUAGGAGGAACACCGAUGGCGUAGGCAGAUAACUGGCUCAUUCCUGACACUAAGGCACGAAAGCGUGGGUAGCAAACGGGAUUAGAUACCCCGGUAGUCCACGCUGUAAACGAUGGAUGCUAGCUGUUAUCGGUAUCGACCCCGGUAGUAGCGAAGCUAACGCGUUAAGCAUCCCGCCUGUGGAGUACGGUCGCAAGACUAAAACUCAAAGGAAUUGACGGAAUCGA